UCUCCAUGAAUUAGAGAAAAUUAAGAAGAAAAGAUUAAUUGAUUACAGAAAAUCAUCCCAAGAUGAUGCUCAUUCUAACUGGUACAAAAGAGAGGAGAAAUGAAAUGCCGCCAAAUUAGGUAAAUGUUGAAAUGUCCCAAAACAAGCAGCUAAAGCAGAAGAAGUGAAAGGAAAGAAGAAACUUCCAUCGUCUACUCUCUCAAGCUAACCAUGUUCUGAGGCAGAAACAAACCUGAGAGCGAAGGGGGAACAAACCUGCAGCUCUUAAAUAAGUCAAAGAAAAGAUUGUGAAGACUCCCACAACAAUAUAGAACAGCAACAAAAAUAACAGG